rnacentral:tRNA from 1 species
GAUGUAGCUCAGUGGUAGAGUCUUGCCUAGCACGCAAGAGGCAUUGAGUUCUAUCCUCAGCAUC